GGACUGGUGGUCUAGUGGUAACACAUUGUUUUCGGACGUGAACGGGUGUGGUUCGAUUCCCUCCCAGUCCC
rnacentral:tRNA from 1 species